CCUACGGGGGGCAGCAGUGGGGAAUAUUGCACAAUGGGGGAAACCCUGAUGCAGCGACGCCGCGUGAGUGAAGAAGUAUUUCGGUAUGUAAAGCUCUAUCAGCAGGGAAGAAAAAAGACGGUACCUGACUAAGAAGCCCCGGCUAACUACGUGCCAGCAGCCGCGGUAAUACGUAGGGGGCAAGCGUUAUCCGGAUUUACUGGGUGUAAAGGGAGCGUAGACGGCGCGGCAAGUCUGAAGUGAAAGGCAGGGGCUUAACCCCUGAACUGCUUUGGAAACUGCCAUGCUAGAGUGCUGGAGAGGUAAGUGGAAUUCCUAGUGUAGCGGUGAAAUGCGUAGAUAUUAGGAGGAACACCAGUGGCGAAGGCGGCGUACCGGCGCCAGACUGACGCUGAGGCACGAAAGCGUGGGGAUCGAACAGGAUUAGAUACCCCAGUAGUC
rnacentral:rRNA from 1 species